rnacentral:rRNA from 1 species
UACGGGGGGGGCAAGCGUUGUUCGGAAUUACUGGGCGUAAAGCGUCUGUAGGUGGCUUUUCAAGUCCGCCGUCAAAUCCCAGGGCUCAACCCUGGACAGGCGGUGGAAACUGCCAAGCUGGAGUACGGUAGGGGCGGAGGGAAUUUCCGGUGGAGCGGUGAAAUGCGUAGAGAUCGGAAAGAACACCAACGGCGAAAGCACUCUGCUGGGCCGACACUGACACUGAGAGACGAAAGCUAGGGGAGCGAAUGGG